UACGGAGGGUGCAAGCGUUAUCCGGAUUCACUGGGUUUAAAGGGUGCGUAGGUGGGCAGGUAAGUCAGUGGUGAAAUCUCCGGGCUUAACCCGGAACUGCCGUUGAUACUAUCUGUCUUGAAUACUGUGGAGGUAAGCGGAAUAUGUCAUGUAGCGGUGAAAUGCUUAGAUAUGACAUAGGACACCAAUUGCGAAGGCAGCUUACUACACAGUUAUUGACACUGAGGCACGAAAGCGUGGGGAUCAAACAGG
rnacentral:rRNA from 1 species